UCACAUGUUUUUGUGUUUUUAUUCAUUUUUUUUCCUUUUGCUCUUUUGUCCUGUAAAGCAUAUUGAGUUAUCCGUACCUUUGUGCUUACUAUUUUUUUUUUUUUUUCUGGAGAUGAAAAAUAUUUUGUUUUUCUUAAGUAAAACAAAAAUAAUUCAAGAUUUAUUGCUACUCUUAACUACUUUGGUUGGUACUUGGAAGAAAAACGUGACAUGUAGGCAGUUAACCAUCAAGGAGGAAUAUUUGCUAUGCAUAUGCCACGUUUCUAUCGGAUUUCUUAUUUUGGAAUUAAAGUCACAUUCUUAAAGAAAAGUCGUUAUUCAAUUAGCAAAUUAAAAACUUCAAGAUAAAAAAUAUCAUAAUUCAAGAAUAUUUCGGACAUUGAUGCGAUCAAAACGAAAAAGAGUUUUAUUGCCUCAAGGCAAACAAAAAUCAGUUAAAUCAAACCUUGAGAUUAUUUUUUUUUAAAUAAUUACUUUCAGUAGUCUUUCUACUUAAAUAAACUGGGCUUUCUUAGUCUAACUUCUCAGUCAAA